rnacentral:piRNA from 1 species
UGCCUGUGCAACUAAGCUCUUAGUGG